UCCAAGUCAUAUGAGAAUUGACUAAACGACUUGUAGUAAAAGUUCUCUGUAGCAAACGACUUGUAAGCAAAGGUAGUGAAGUGUUGGAUAUCCUUAGCCCAUGACUAGGUUCCAUUAAGAAACUUUCCAAACACGCCCUAGGGUUAGCCCAAUCCCGCCGCUAAUAAAUUUGAGUAAAAGCUCCGAACAAACCCUUUUGCAGCUAACCAUCUUCUUUCUUUUCUCUGAACCCCUUUUUGACAUUGUCUGUCUAGGUUGAAGAAAAAAAAAAAUCAGAGUUGGUUGGAACUUGGAAGUAGUUGGAAGAAUGGAAGGGAUUUUCCUUGAGUUUGAAAGGAAGAUUUAGUGAGUAUGAGAAAUAUUUUGUUGGUUGAAAUUAUCUGCAGCAAUUGGAAACCUGAGAGUAUUCAUGAUUUGAAAAUUAAUCCAUUGAUAUCUGAUAUCCCUUGCGUUGCUCAAUUAUUCUCGACUAUCUUUUGUUUAGAUUAUUAUCUAUGCUGUGAAUCUGUGAUCCAUUUCCUUAUUUAUUUCUGACUAUCAUAUGAUUCUGGGACAACCAGGAAAGAUGAAUCGAAUGUAUUAUUUUUGUUUCUGGUUCCAUAUUCUGCAGUGUUCCACAUGGCACUGUUGGGGCAGGUGACUGAGGUGGUUGGUGUCGCUUAGAACUUUACAAAGAAUACAUAUAAGGAGUUCAAUGUUAAUGUAGUUUUUAUAUGUUUUUCCAAGCUGUAUAUUUCAUCUGGGUUGUAUUCUACUGUUACUUGUACAUGUGCUUUAUGGCAUGCAAGCACAUUGUUUUCAAUGGAAAAUGUUAUUUAUAAAA